rnacentral:snRNA from 1 species
AUUGCUUCUCAGCCUUUUGGUUAAGGUCAAGUGUAGCAUCUGUUUUUAUCAGCUAAAUAUCUGAUAUGUCCUCUAUUUGAAGACAACAUAUUAAAUGGAUUUUUGGAUCUAGGAAUAAAUGGAGAACUUAAAAAUUACCAUUUGGGGGCCUGGAGAAAUUGAUUGGUGGUUAAAGUGCUUGCCUGCAGAGCCUAAGGACC